rnacentral:rRNA from 1 species
CGUAUAUUGAAGUUGUUGCAGUUAAAAAGCUCGUAGUUGGACUUCUGAUUCGGAAGAUCGGUCCGCCGCAAGGCGAGCACUGAUUCUUCGAGUCUUCCUCUCGUAGUUGUUUGGCGCACUUGAUUGGGUGCCAGAUGAAUAUGGGACCUUUACUUUGGAAAAAUUAGAGUGUUCAAAGCAGGCAAUCGCUUGAAUACAUUAGCAUGGAAUAAUAGAAUAGGACUUUGGUUCUAUUUUGUUGGUUUCUAGGACCGAGGUAAUGAUUAAUAGGGACAGUUGGGGGCAUUAGUAUUUAAUUGUCAGAGGUGAAAUUCUUGGAUUUAUGAAAGACUAACUACUGCGAAAGCAUUUGCCAAGGAUGUUUUCAUUAAUCAAGAACGAAAGUUAGGGGAUCGAAGACGAUCAGAUACCGUCGUAGUCUUAACCAUAAACUAUGCCGACUUGGGAUCGGAGGGGUGCAUUUAGCCCUUUCGGCACCAUAUGAGAAAUCAAAGUUUUUGGGUUCUGGGGGGAGUAUGGUCGCAAGGCUGAAACUUAAAGGAAUU